rnacentral:rRNA from 1 species
UACGUAGGGUGCGAGCGUUAAUCGGAAUUACUGGGCGUAAAGGGUGCGCAGGCGGUUAUAUAAGACAGAUGUGAAAUCCCCGGGCUCAACCUCGGAACUGCCUUUGAUACUGCGAAUCUUGAGUCCGAUAGAGGUGGGUGGAAUUCCUAGUGUAGAGGUGAAAUUCGUAGAUAUUAGGAGGAACACCGAUGGCGAAGGCAGGUCUCUGGGCCAUUACUGACGCUGAGGAGCGAAAGCGUGGGGAGCGAACAGG